CCUACGGGAGGCUGCAGUGAGGAAUAUUGGUCAAUGGACGGAAGUCUGAACCAGCCAUGCCGCGUGCAGGAAGACGGCUCUAUGAGUUGUAGACUGCUUUGGUACAAGGGUAAACCUGAAUACGUGUAUGCAGCUGAAAGUACUGUACGAAUAAGGAUAGGCUAACUCCGUGCCAGCAGCCGCGGUAAUACGGAGGAUCCAAGCGUUAUCCGGAUUUAUUGGGUUUAAAGGGUGCGUAGGCGGAUUGAUAAGUUAGAGGUGAACUGUCCGAGCUUAACUCGGGAACUGCCUCUCAUACUGUUGUUCUUGCGCGUAGUUGCGGUAGUCGGAAUGUCUGGUGUAGCGG
rnacentral:rRNA from 1 species